ACUUAAUUAGACUUUUGUAGUGAAGGCUGCCUUGUUUAACAAAUGUAGCAGUGUCACUUUAAGAGCCAUGCCAGAGCAAAACACGCGGGAAUAUAUAGAGUGCGUGAGAAUCAGACCAGGAAGUGAAGUGAGGGUGACAUGCACGUGAAGGAGGGAAGUCGCUGAACUGUGCCUCCUGCUUGUCCCAACUUGAUACACCCAUGAUCGUCGUAACCCUGGCGAUAUUCAGAGUACAAUAUCGUGAUUUGGAGUUUGAAAUCUACCACUCGUGAGUCGUGUGAACAGCUGUACAGCGUAAGUGUUCGCAACGUUACAAGGUGUAAAUAUGUUUUUUUUCGGACUGUGAAAUUAUAUGAACUGUGUUAUCUGUUCUUUAGAGGGGAGAUCAUUUGUGUUUUUCCAUGUGCUUUGUAUGCACCCCACACACCGGAACGUAUCGAGUAAGUGUGUCUGCAUCUCAAAACUUGUUCGACACUUUAAGUUGAAUUAAGUAUUGUGGCUUGGAAAUAAUGUAUUUUUAUUUCUGUUUCCCCAUUAAGCAAGCCACUGCUGUUGUCUAUUAUGGUGUAAUUGUCUUUAAUCUGUUAGAUAAUUUUCUUUGAUCUCUUAGAUCCCUUUUCGAACGCUUUUAAAAUUCAGUUAACAACUCAGUCUUUCAUCUUAAUGCUGAACAAUUUUUCAUUCUUCAGUCGAGAAUAAAGCCCAC